rnacentral:lncRNA from 1 species
UUUUUUCAGCUAAAGGGAAUUAUGGGAGAUGUGUAAUUUACAAUUUUCAUAUUCUAAAUCAUAUUUGAAGCAAAAGUAUCAAUUGAAAUAUAUUAUUACUGCACGAGCCACAAAAUCACUAAAAUAUGAAAUCUUAAUUGAUAAAAACCUUAAAUGUUUUUCUUUGCAUUACUAACUUAUUCAUCUUUUAAUGUCAGAACAAUGUUUUGGAUCUCUUAAAACAUGCACUACCAGAUACCUUUUAGUUUUGGAAGAAAAAAAAUUCGCUGUGAAAUUUUCUUCAACUCUUUCUUGCUUUCCGCUUGACGAUCAAGUACUCACUUCCUCUCUCUCCCUGCUUUACUAGUUUGGUGCCAGACCAGUGGUGUCUUAAGCCAUGGUAUCAUUCAUCCCAUAGCCAUCUUUAUAUUGCGUACAUGCACGCUUCUUGUGGAAACUCUCAGGUACAGUUAUCAUCCAUAGGUGAGUACUUUCCGUAGUCUACCAGAUGCUCACACACUGCCAUGGACACUUGUCUCUACCCCCACAGUAAUUAGCCAAAAACUUGUCAUUUUAGUUUUGUCUUUUGAUCUUUCAAAAUCAACUGUGUAAAUUAGCAUGAAAGAGCAUUUUCAGUCCAUAAGUUGAAUUAUACAAAUAGCAAUGUCUUUUAUACAGUCUCUUGUUUUGGUGACAAUAAUAAUCCUUGAGGUAUUUAUGUUUUUCAGGAGCUAAAAAUUCCCUCCCAUUUUAAGGUCCUUUUUGGCUGAGCAUGUGGACCUUCCUUACAAAGGCUAUAUAUAUGCCUUUUAUUCCUUUUGGUAUUCAUUAUCGUAUGCUAUUUUGCACUCGAAGGGAAAUUAGGCUCCUACACAUUUGCGUUGACGAUUCAAACCAUGAUUUUUAGAUUCAUUUUCCUACAUUUUUCACCUAUAUAGAGACCAUUGAUUCAUGCUAUGGCUGCGCGGGCACCAACACUAGUUAGUUAACAAAAAUCUAAAAGAGCUCGGAGUGUGGCUUUUACCUGGAUUCAAACAGUAAUUUCAACCUUUCAGUUUCUCAUUUUGCUUUUUAUUGCAGAUUCAAUCUCUCAUCCUUUGCUCGCUUUUUUCUCCGUAUAUGUGGCUUCUCCUCUACCGCAUCCCCACUUCUCUUUACCUCAGAUCGCCUUUUUCAAUUCAUCUCCUUCUUUUUGUAAACCAGAUCAGUGGAAGAGAGAAUAAGCACAAAGUUGUGGAGAGAAUGAUGAGGUCAAUGGUAUUUUUAAAUCAUUAACAAUAAUUUUAUUUGCCGAUCCAUGAGAUCCUGAUCAUCUACCACAGCCUAUGACUGCAAAAAUAUUGUUUAGAUCUGAUUGGAUUGCCAUAGGACCUGGUGUCAAUUCAAAUUAUAUGUUUGUUUAAUUUAAUUAUAUGAUAAGCAUGUAAAUAUCAUAAACAUAAAAUCAAACGGAAAAUUACAAAUAGAAAAUGACAGUAUGUGAGUAUAGAUGGCAAAGCUUAGGAAAAACCAUGCGUAGCCCCACCAUGAAAGCCAUCGACAACACCAAAAUGCACUACUUCAUUCACAUUUUCUGGCUCGCCUGGUUUAAAUCUCUGAGCAGCAACGCUUUGCUCCUCCACACCCAGCUGGUUUAAAUCGCCUAAUGCCAAUUGCUGAUAUUCUUCACUUAUUAUCCCAUGAGGUGGCAUAAGAAGGGGGACAUGAGCCGAGGUUAUUAGGCAUCUCAGCCCAGUGAGAAAUAAUAAGACGAAGCUAAAUUCUCUUAACUAGGCCCAAUAGUGUCUCAGCCACCAGCCCACAGAAACAUAAAACUCGAUGUAAAGGUAAUGAUUUAUUCAUUUUGUGAUAUUUCCUUUUAUAUCAGCAAAAUAACACCAUCUUUUGAAGAAAAGCAGCAUGAGACUUCAUCAGGAAAUACAAAAAUGAAAAACACAACUUUAUUAUUUGCUCAAACUUUUUUUUUUAAUUUCAUGCAACCAUCUCUGGACACUCAAACAAUUUUUUUAUUUUUAUUUUGUGUCAUGCAUUAUAGAGAUAUUUAAAAGUAUAAUUAUGAUUUUUUAAAAAAAAUUAUUUUUUACUCAUAAAUAUAUUAAAAUAAUAUAUUUUUUUAUUUUUUUAAAAUUAUUUUAACAUUAAUACAUUAAAAUAAUAUGAAAACAUUAAAAAAUUAUUAAUUUAAAAUAAAAAAUUUAAAUUUUAUCAAUAACACUUUUAAAACAUAAAAAUUAAAAUGCAAAAACAAUAAGCAUUUUGGCCGUGUUUGUUUUCCGGAAAGUAGUUUCCGGGAAACUACUUUCCAAACUUUCCUGUGUUUGUUUGCCAUUAGAAAAGUUGGUUAACGAAAAACACUUUCCGACCAACAAAAAACACUUUCUAGUCAAAGGAAAAUUUAGCUUGGUUUCUAAGAAAAUGUUUUCCUUUUAUUUUGAGCGGAAAACACUUUCCGGAAGUUAUGAAAAAUUUAGAAAUGUUAUUAUUUGUUGAUUAUAUCAAAUUUGAUCCUCAAACUUUUGAUUGCUAUAUAUAUUUUGUUUUGAAUAUUUGUUUUUCAAUUUCAUCCCUUAUAAUUUAAUUUUUAUAUUAAUUUUGGUCCUCAAUUAUAUUUUUCAAUAAGUGUUUUUCCUUAUAAAAUUAAACUGAAAAAACAACUAGCAUAUUUUUUGUGAAAUUAUAUAAACAAAAUUUAAACUAAAUUGUUAAGAAACACUUAUUGAUACACUUAGAAUUCAUUAAUAUCAAAUUUAUUGUUGUCGAUAAUUAAUUAUUUUUUUAAAAAAAAUAUUUUAAUAUAUUUUUAGAUAAAGAAUUAUUUUAAAAAAUAACUGUUAUUAUACUCUCAAAUGCCCCCAGUCAUACACUUCAGUAUUCAUAUGGCAUAAUUAAAUUUAUAUUAUGUGGCAAUAAAUUAGAAUGAUAGAAUGAUAACAUUAUACUGUUAUAUAAGAGUUUUUGCAGCAUGAAGUUGGAAAAUUACAAAUCGAAAAUGACAGUAUGUCUCAUAGAUGGCAAAACUUAACAAAAACCAUGCUUGGCCCCACCACGAAAGCCAUCGACAACACCAAAAUGCACUGCUUCAUUCACAUUUUCUGGCUCGCCUGGUUUGAACCUCUGAGCUGCAACGCUAUGCGAUAAAAUUGAAUGAAUUAAAUUAAAUAUUAAAAGAUAAAAUUUUAAAAAAUAAAAAUAAAAAAAUAAGAACAAAAAAUAUAUUAAAAAAAAAUGCAAUAAAAUUAGAAGGGAUGAAAUUACAAAUAAAAUUAAGAAAUGUAUAAAACACAAAAAUAUAGCAAUCAAAAGUAAAGGGACAAAACUGGAUAAAAAAAUCAAAUUAAAUAAAAUGCUCACGGAUGAAGUUGGAAAAAAAGUUAAACUUAAAAAAGAAUUAAAAACCAAAUAAAUAGUAAUUAAAAGAAUGAGGGCCAAUAUUGAUAAAAUUACAAACUGGGAGACACAAUUAUUUUUUGAAAGGUCAUAUGCAAAUUCCUAGGCACUGAGAGAGAAAAGACAGAAGAAAGAAAAAACUCCACCGCAACCUAAAUUGAUCUUCUUCGUGAGGAUGCACCACAUUACUGGAAAGAGGAUGACUUUCUACUCGCAAUGCCACUGUAGAAGUAGGAUUUUGGUAGCUAGAUGGGUUUUCAUGCCCCAUCUGAAUGGCAUGGGGUUCAUCAUGCGCUGACAUGUGCAUUACACAUGUAAACAAUUUUUUUAUAAUAAUAUUUAAUAUUUUAAAAUUACCAAACAACCCCUAAUCAAAUUAUAAAAUAACAAUAUAAUUAGACAUGAAAAGGUUAAGAUACUCUUGAAAUUAACCUAGUUUUUUUUCGGAUUCCAAUGUUAAUUUUACUGUUUCAUUAUUUUAUAAAAAGAAAAAGAUGGAGAAGUCCCUUAUGCAAGUCCAUUUUUUCUCUCCCAAGGGAUAUGAUUAUAACUUCACUGUGUAUUUUUUUUGAAAAGACUAAAAGAUCCUCUACAAAAGACUAAAAAGUUUUUUUUUUUUCCUUGUAACUAUAAUAAUAAAAAAUGUUCAGAAGAAUUUAUUCCAAAUCAAAUUUGCAAGAUAAUUGUACCCCAAUUGCACACACGUGUAAUCAAUUUUUCUUUCGAGGGUCAAAAUAUAAUUAUAAUGCUGCAAUGAAUAGGAAGAUGUUUCUAAAAGAUACAGAAAAUCACUUAUGCCUUUUAAUAUUUUUUUCAAUUGAAUUCCUAUAGAUCAAGAUAUGUUUUUUAAAAUAGUUAAUGGAACGAAGCAUUAUAAAAUUAUAAGAUUACGGAUAUAUAUUAUGAUUUGUAUUUGAUUGUAUUUCUUUUUAUUAUUUAAGAAACUACCAACUCCUUCAACUUUUCCAUGUAGAGUUGUUGAUUUCAAGUUUGAAAACUUUAAAACAAAUACUGGAAAUAUUUUUCAUUUCCUUUACAUGAAAUUUUUUUGAAAACAAUUCAUUUAAAAAAAAUAAAAUUCAUAUCAUGCAAAACCCUCCGUUCCCAUUUAUCCAAACACAAGCAAUUCAUAGCAUUUACAAGGAUGAAAUGGUUUCGCGUAUCAUUGACUCGGAUAUAUCAUGUUCUAUUUUAAAUUGUUCUUCGACAUAGAUAAAAUCAUAGAACAGUUCUAAAUCAAAUCUCUUUAGGAAAAAAAAUCCCUUAACUAAUGUGAGCUUACAUCAAUCCUCUUACAAAACAUUUGUUACUGACUUAGCCAUGCACUUCGUACAUGUAUACGGAUUCACAUGCAUCAUUAAUUGAAGUAAACACUCAAAUUAACUCUGAACUAAAAGAGGCUGGGAUUUUAUGGUAUUCCUCCUCACAAAAUAUUUUAUUUAUUAGAAUGGUAUUUUGUUUUGUUUUUUUAAUUAAUAUUUGAUUUUUUAAUAUUAGAUUUGCUUAUAUUUAGUUAUCACACUCUCAUGACACGGAUUUCAAAUUUGACGGAUUAACUUAGUUUGACAGAUUAAUUUAGUUGACUCAAAUUCUUUUUCUUGAUUAGUUUUUUUUUUCAGAUUCAUUUUUUAAUAUUGAUUUGAUUAAGAAUUAAACUUCAUGAUUUGUCUUGUUUAUUUUUCAUUAUAUUAUCAUAAUCUCUUGACACAAGAAUAAUGCUUAAUGGAUUAACCCAACUUAACUCGGGUUAUAUUUUGUAUCUUUUAUUUAAUUGAUUUUUUUAUUUUUAUCAUUUAAUAUUGGAUCAAUUAGGAAUUGAGUUUCAUAAUUUAUUUUGAUUUGUUUUUUAUGAUAAUAUCUUGGUCUUAAGAUCAAGGUCACGAGUUUUGGUAUUCUAAUCCUGGUUAAAUCAUGUUGUUUGUUUUAUUUUCUUUCUAAGAGGCUAUAUUAGUUUUAUUACUUGGGUCACGAGUCCUUCAAUAUUGGACUUGUAUUUUAUUGGGUUGUCUUUGUCUCAUAUUCAAAUCGCGGGUUAACCUAAUUGACUCAUUUUUUCUCUCUAUUUUUAAAUGAUUUUUUCCAAUUUCAUCAAUUAAUAUUGUGUUUAAUUGUGAAUUAAGCUUUAUGAUUUGUUUUUUUUUUGUUUUACAUUAAGUUAUUCUGGUCUCAUGGCUCGGUAAUAUAUGCUUGACGGUUAACUCGGGUUAAUUUGGUUUAUAUUUUUGUCAUUUUUUUUAAUUAUUUUUUUUACAAAUUUCAUCAACAUUAGGUCCAACAAAGAUGAUUGAGAAUCAAGUUUAUAAUUUGUUUUGACUUUCUCUUUAUUGGGUCAUCUCGGUCUCAAGACCAAAGUCAUGGAUUUGACAGGUUAACCCAGGUUAAGUCAAGUUAUUUUUUUAAAUUUUUUUAUAAGGUUAUCUCAGUCUAAUGACUCAGGUCACGAGUUUGUUGGAGUGACUCAGGUUGUUUUUUAUGUUCUUUUUUUAAUCUUAUCAUUUAAUAUUAGGUUAGUUAGGAAUUAAAAUUUAUAAUUUGUUUUGAUUUACUUUUUAUGAGAUUAUCUCGGUCUUAUGACCCGGGUUGGAAGUUUGACAUGUUAACCCAGGUUUUUUAGGUCAUUUUUUAUUUGAGUUUUUUUUUUCAAUUUCAUCCUUUUAAUAUUAGGUCGAUUGAGAAUUGGGCUUAAUAAUUUAUUUUGAUUUGUUUUCUAUAGGGUUAUCAUAGUCUCAUAACUCGAGUUGUCCAAGGUCAAUCUAAUAUGUUGUUAUUUUAAUAUUAAAAAAAGAUAUUAUCUUGAAAUUUUAUUUAGUUAAAAUUUGUUUUUACAGAUUGUAUGAGUUGUUUUUGAACUAAUAAAAUCAAUUGAGUUCAUCGUGUAAACCCUCACAUAAUUUAAUUUUUUAUAUUAAAAAAUUAUUAAUAACAUUUAAAUAUUUUUUUCUUGAUUCAUAACUCGAAGCAAUCAUAUAGGGACCAUUUGGGAACACGGUCCAACUCGUGUUCUCAAAAGUUUUAAAUUUUUUAAUUUUAAAUUAAUAUUUUUUGAUGUUUUUAGAUCAUUUUAAUUUUAAUACAUUGAUAUAAAAAUAAUUUUUUAAAAAUAAAAAAUAUUAUUUUUUUAUAUUUUUAAAUAAAUUUUUUUUAAAAAAACCAAUCAUGAUCAUUCUAUAACAGACACCAUAGCGUUCAGCAGUAUUAAUGGCUAGGCAACCACUCAUGGUCCAGAGUGAACCUUAAAAUUAAUCUGCAUUUUGGCAGUAUUAACCACUCAUGAUUGUCAACCGCUGUUAUGGAGAAAAAUUCUGUCAAAUGGAAUGAGAUUGAUUGGCAUCAUAGAAAAGACAGGCGGUAUUAUUUUGACCAUUUGAUCAUUUUUUUUGGCUCGUUCUUUUUUGUUUUAGAAAAUCUUAGAUAAUCCACAAAAUUUUGUUUUAGAAAAUUUUGUAAUUUGUGCAGGCAAGAUGGUACUGCUCAAUUGUCAAUUUUCAUCUCUAUCUUGCGAUGAUUUUACUGUUCCAUCUCCUUUGGGAAUUCUUUGCAGGCAAAACGGUACAACUCUAUUGCCAAUUUGCCAGCUUCACUUUGCUUUAAUUCCACUGUUGUCUGUGCCUGGAUUUUUACCAGUAGCUGAUGAUUCAGGAAAAACGAUUACUUCCAUAAGGAAAUCUUCAGAUUUUGCUUCCUUUUGAGCUUUAUAUAUAUAUAUAUGCUUUCAUUUCAAUCAUCACUAAACGGCAUGUUUAUUAAGUGCUAAGAUUGCUUAAACUUCUACUACAACGUUACGACUUCACCCAGCUAUUUUGCAUUUUCCUUUUCAAUAUGCAUUUUGAUCCCCUUCCCCUGUUGGCAGCCUUUCUUAAACCACUCAAGAUUUCUCUUGCACUUGAAGGGAAAUUCAUUUGCGUUGACGAUUCAAACCAUGAUUUUUAGAUUCAUUUUCCUACAUUUUUCACCUAUAUAUAGACCAUUGAUUCAUGCUAUGGGUGCGCGGGCACCGACAGUAGUUAAUUAACAAAAAUCUAAAAGAGCUCGGAGUGUGGCCUUUACCUGGAUUCAAACAGUAAUUUCAAGCUUUCAGUUUCUCAUUUUGCUUUUUACUGCAGAUUCAAUGUCUCAUCUUUCGCUCACUUUUUUCUCUGUAUAUGUGGCUUCUCCUCCACCGCAUCCCCACCUUCUCUUGACCUCAGAUCGCGUUUUUCAAUUCAUCUUUCUUUUUGUAAACCAGAUCACUGUCAGAGAGAAUAAGCAGAGAGUUGUGAAGAGAAUGAUGAUAGUGCUGCCGAUCGCUUCUGAAUCUGUGAUUUUCAUUCUAGAAAAAUAUUAGAGAUUGGAGGGUGUAUAUGACAGCGAUUUAUUUUGGAAAUGUAUUAAAAUAAUUAUUUUAUUAUUUUUAAAACACAUUAGAAUAAGAACUUGGCAACUCAGUAAAAACGUGUUAAUGUUGUUUUUUGUUAACAUGUGGUUGGGCCGUAAAUUUUAACGAGUCCCACAAACCAACCUGUGUUUCAAAUAUAACCAUGUUCAAUACUCAUUGUGUAAAAAACAUUAUUAUGUAAAACCCUUAAUUCUCCCCUUCUCAAUAUUCAUCCAAACACGAGUAGCUCAUAUCAGCAUUUACAAAGAUGAAGAGGUUAAUUUCCAAAGAGUACGAAUCAUGGCGCAUUUUGAGUUAUUUCGUUAACAGGGAUAAAAUUCAUAGAAUAGGUCGGUCCAUAUCUAGUAUAUAUCUUUAGGAAAAAGAUCUCUUGAAUAAUGUUAUCUUACAAAACUCUUGUUACUACUGACUUAGCCAUACACUUUCAUAUAUGUGUAGGUUUCAUCUGACAUCAUUAAAUCCAUAUUAUUUCGCAAAUUCACAAUAAAUUACAAUGAUAACAUUAUACAAGAGGUUUUGCAGCAUGAAGUUGGAAAUCACAAAUCGAAAAUGACAGUAUGUGAAUAUAGAUGGCAGAACUUAACAAAAAACCAUGCUUAGCCCCACCACGAAAGCCAUCGACAACACCAAAAUGCACUGCUUCUUUCACAUUUUCUGGCUCGCCUGGUUUAAAUCUCUGAGCUGCAACGCUAUGCUCCUCCACGACCAGUCGCCUAAAGCCAAUUGCUGAUAUUGUUCUCACUUAUUAUCAUUUAUCCAUGAGGUGGCAUAAGAAGGGCCCAUGAGCCGAGGUUAGGAGGCAUCUCAGCCCAGCUAAAAUCUUUUAACGGAGCCCAAUAGUGUCUCAGCCACCAGCCCACAGAAACAUAAAACUCGAUGGAAAGUUAAUGAUUUAUUCAUUUGUGAUAUUUCCUUUUAUAUCAGCACAAUAACACCAUCUUUUGAAGAAAAGCAGCAUGCGACUUCAUAGGGAAAAAAUGAAGAAAAUAUCAGCACAAUAACACAAAACAUUAUUAUUUGCUCAUGUGGUGGGAUAAUGGUAGUGAGCAUUGUAAACCCAUCUAACAAAUAAAGAACGAAAUGAUCAGGUAUCGUAUCUCAAGCAUUUGAUUCAAACCGCCAGUUUAGUAUUGCGUUUCAAAUUCUAGUUAGGCAAAAUUUAAAAUUUAAUUUACUUAAAAUUAAUUUGUUUUUAUAUUUCUGUAUCUUUUUGAUUUGUUGAUAUAAAAAAAUUAAAAAAUAUAUUAUUUUAAUAUAUUUUAAAAUUACAAACACUUUAAAAAUUAAAACAUUCAAAACACACAUAAUUCAAAACAUUCAAACAUUCUUUUAUUUUAUUUUAUUUUAUUUGGUGUCGUGCACAGCUGAAGCCGCUGCCCCUUUAUAUUCGGACAACGACAGUCUAGUCAAGUGGCCCGCGCAAGGCGAAAUGAAUUAACAGUAUGAGAACUCUACAUCUGGACCCCCUUGAUAACGUCACUAGUAACAAUAAGGGACAGGGAGAGAUGCGUAUCGUCAUCCUCGAUGAUCUUCCAUGGAUUUAUUUAUUUUUAUUUUUAUUUUAUUGUUUGUGAGCAUAAUUUAACAGGAGCUACUGGCUAGCUUGUUUUGCUUCCCAUCCUUCAAUGGAAGGGACGUAUAAAUUAAAUAGAUAUAAUUGAACUAGAUACAUGAUAGAAAAAUAGGAUUUUUUUUUUAGAUUAACAUGAAUAUCCGGACCAGCUUGUGCACCUCAACUAAUUUUACAGGCUCUGAAAUUAACGAUAAAAAAAAAGGAUUUUCGGUAUAGAAAAAGGUGAGAUAAUUUGAUUAAAAAAACUAAUUUUUAAAUACAAUUUUAUUAAAAUUAAAUCAGACGACAAAUAAUUUUAUUAUUAGCAACGAAGCUGUUAUAAAAUAGUUUUUUUAAAAAGUAAUUUUUAUAGAAAAUAGAUUAUUACAAGGUGAAUUAUUUUUUAAUAUUUAAAAAUAUAAUAAAAAAUAAGUUGCAAAAUCCAGUAUUUAACUAUGUUAUUAUAAAAUAAACUAUAAAAUAAUUUUUUAAUUUUUUUAAUAUACAUAUAUAUAUAUUCUACACUAUAUUUUUACAUCCUUUAAGCAUUAGCAUUAGAAAAUAAAUAUAAACACUUUAUAUCAAAACAUAGUUAUGCAUGAAUAAUUAAUUUGCUCUAACAAUUUCAAUUCUCGGCAUCUCAGUCACACGAGUGGCUUGAGAAUUUUUAAAUACAGAAAUGACAAAAGAAAAGGCUCCACAAAAUUGCCAUAUAAACGCAGUUCAAAGUAAGUUUGCAAAUGCAAAUAAUAGAAUCAGAAGUAGCUAGUCUUUUAUUAAACUUAAAUACGACACAUAAUCUAUUUGUUAUUAGAUGCUUUGAAAUCUUGAUGAACUUGUAAAAGAAGUAGUUGAGCCUACGUGGAAGAAGAAGCUGACCCCCCCGAACAAUGAAAAAAGUCUCGCCGCUCCAGUUGAGGCGGUGGUAGGCUUUUGACGUGAUGUAAUAGCCGACAGACAUAUCACGUACUUUCCUAUGUAAGAUCAUCUUCAAUGGAGAACCCAAAAUGAAUAACCAAAAAUAAAAAAUUAAUAUUUUAGUUUUUAUUUGUUUGUUUUGAAUACUCCAAGAAAAAAAACCAAACAAAAUAUUAAAAUAGUUUUUUUUUCCCAUAAAUAUUAUUUUUACAUAUCUCUUCAAAGAGCCAAAACCAACAAAGUGGGACCACUAAAAAAAUAAACCAAUUAAAUAUAGCUGUGGAAAAAAAAUAAUAUCAAAUUUAUUAAGAAAUAAUAAGGCCGUGUUUGAUUGCAGGAAAGUGAAUUCCUGGAAUUCACUUUCCUUGUUUUCCCAUGUUUGACAGCAAUAUAAGAAAAUAGUCAAAGGAAACUGAAUUCCGGUCAACUUUAAAAAAGUAACGUUAGGAAAGGAAAGUGUUUUCCUUUUGUUAAAUAGAGGAAAACACUUUCCUUCGGGCCUUUCCUUCCGUUCAUUUUCUCAUACAGCUGUGUAUCAGCUCUCAACUAGAAUUUUUUCUUCAAAAUCACAGAGGAAACUGGGAACAAGAGGAAACUGAGCAGGAACAAGAGAGCAGGAACAAGAGUAUUUUUCUAGACCAAUUAAUUCUUGAUAAAUUUGCUACUGCUACUGUCAUAUUUUUUCCAUAACAUUUCCAACUUUUCAUCUUCAUAAAUCUACUACUGCUACUGUCAACAACUAUUAAUCUCGUCACAUUCAAUUAAUCAAGCAACCCAAACAAACACAACCCAAAAAAACACAUUCUGUUGACAGAGAGACAAAACCGGCCGGGGGGGGAUAACUGUGACAGAGAGAGGCAAAACGGUGGGGGGAGGGCGGGAGAGAUAACUGUGACAGAGAGAGGCAAAACGGUGGGGGGGGGGGAGGGGAGGCGAUUUCUGUUAACAUGAAGAGGCAACGCGAUGGGGGGGUCGAUUUAUGUGAACAGAGAGAGGCCAAAACCGGGGGGGGAGGGGCGAUCGAUUUCUGUUGACAGAGAGGCCAAAACGGGGGGGGGAGGGGCGAUCGAUUGCUGUGAGGCGGCCGAUUUCUGUUGUGGGGGCGAUCCAUCUGUUAUCAAAGAGAGACAAAUCGGGGGGGGGAUUUCUGUUUCUGUGAAUCCUUGGGGGGGGAAUGGGAGCAGGGGAAUUGGGGGACUGGACCGAGAGGAGAGGGAAUUGGGGAGCAGGGGAAUUGGAGGAGAUUUGUGAAUGGGAGCAGGGGAAUUGGGGGACUGGACCGAGAGGAGAGGGAAUUGGGGAGCAGGGGAAUUGGAGGAGAUUUGUGAAUGGGAACAGUGAAAUUGUUGAAUGCUAAUGGGAAAUUAUACAAAUCGGUUAUAACGAAAUUAUAGGGAAAAUGUGGAAUGAAUAUAACAGGAAAAAUAAGGAAUUAUUGUCCGCUUAUUUUAAGUUUUUAAAAUUAAAAAAAAUAUAGUAAUAGGUUUUACUUAAAAAAUAUUUCACAAGCUUAUUUCUAUAUAAUAUGAUAUGACAUAUAUAGUUAUAUUUUAUAAAAUAAGCUAUGUAUGAAUAUAUAUUAUAAUAAAAAAAUUCAUCAUUAUACUUUUUAGAUUUCAUUCUUUUAUUGUAACUGAUUAAAUUUUUAUAUUAAAUAUUUUAUAUAUAUUAGAUAAACUUGAAAAAAAAAAUUAAUUCAUUAAUAAAUUAUUUUCCAGUUUCUUUUCCAUAACAUAACCAAACACAGGAAAGUGUUUUCCUGUUCAUUUUCCAUAACACUACCAAACAUCGGAAUUCACUUUCUCGGAAUUUACUUUCCAGGAAUUCACUUUCCCCGGAAUUCACUUUCCAAAAGGAAACAACUUUCCUGCAAACAAACGGAGCCUAAGACACUUGUUUCUUCCACUCCAAUAUAAAUGGCUCUUCAAAUGGCUUUUUUCCAUUAGAAUAGAUAUGGUAAAAAAAGCUAUAUUUAUACUAUUCAAAAUGCUAUUUUAUCAAUUUAACUUUUCAAAAUAGCAUUUUACAUUGGAGAUGCUCUAAUAGUGAUCUCAGCCACCAGCCCACGAAAUAGUAUCUUUUUUUUUUAAAAAAAAUUCUUUUGUUUUGCUUAAACCUAACUAAGCCAAGUUUUUGUUCAAUUAGAACAUGGAACUAUCCACUAAAGAAUGAACUUGUCAACAGGCUUCGAAGAAAAGCACAAUAACAAAAUCUUUUGAAGAAAAGCAGCAUGAGACUUCAUAGGGAAAAAAUGAAGAAACACAAAACUUUAUUAUUUGCUCAUGUGUUGGGAUAAUGGUAGUGAGCUAGGGUUCAAGUUUCCAAUCGCUCAGCCUCAUAAUGCUAUAUAACUCCAUUGUAACCCCAAAAGAAAAGAAUAAAGCUUGGGUUAUUUGAGAUAUCAUCUCACAAAUAAAGAACGAAAUGAUCAAGUGUCGUAUCUCAAGCAUUUUUAUUCUUUCAAAUACAUUUUUAUCAUAACAUACAUAUUAAACAAUUUAAGACUGUGUUUAUUUUUUGAAAAGUGAUUUUCAAGAAAUUACUUUUCAAAUUUUUUUAUAUUUAUUUUUCAUUAGAAAAACACUUUUCGGUCAAUAGAAAACGCUUUCCAAUCAAAGAAAAAUUUGGCUUGGUUUCCAGAAAAAUAUUUUCCUUUUAUUUUGAGCGGAAAACACUUUUCGGAAGUUGUGAAAAAUUUAGAAAUAUCAUAUUAUUUGCUGAUUAUAUCAAAUUUGGUCCUCAAACUUUUAAUUGCUAUAUAUAUUUUGUUUUGAAUAUCUGUUUUUCAAUUUCAUCCCUUAAAAUUUAAUUUUUAUGUUAACUUUGGUCCUCAUUUAUAUUUUUCAAUAAGUUUUUUUCCUUAUAAAAUUAAACUGAAAAAACAACUAGCAUAUUUUUUGUGAAAUUAUAUAAACAAAAUUUAAACUAAAUUGUUAAGAAACACUUAUUGAUACUCGUGACCGUAUGGUCAUCAAAACUCUCAUGCCAUGUCAAAGAAUCUUCUCAAUUCAAUAACUUAAGCUAUUAGUUGAGUUUUCAGAAUAUAAUUUAUAUUAUUCUUUAACCGUAUGAGUUAAAGUUUAAUAACUUUGUUUUAUUUAAAUAUAAAUUAAAGAAAUAUAGAGAAAUAAUAUUAUCCACAGAUACGUAGUUAACCUGUUCAUGCAGUCAUUUUCUAUAAAAUUAAAAGGAAGAAAGGGAAGCAUAGUUUGUUUCACUUUUCCACCACAUGUAAGUGGAUACGGCGGCUUCGAAGUCAUUGUUAAUUUAUGACUUUAAUUAAUCAUAGUCACGGAUGUCAAUUUGAGUGUUGUCUUGUGCUAGACAAAGACCCUUUCAUAUAAAUAAAUGCAUGCGAUUACUCAUUUUCUUUAGCAUAGUUUGCGUGAGCUGCCAUAUAAAUUGUGAUUGGUCUCUCUCAUUUUUUUUUUUAUAUGACUUUUUAAGCUUCAUUUUGUUCAAACUAAUUGCGUGCUCCAAGGGAUGGAUUCAAUUUACAGUGAGAAAACACAUCUAGCUUGAUAUUACUAUUGUGGUCUCACCACUAAACACUUUCUAAUUUCUCAGAUAACAAAAAUAAAAAUAAAAAAUCCAAUGGUCUUUAUAAUUUCUCACUUAAAACCGGGUUUUAUAUUUGAUCUUUGAUAUGUCAUGAGAUGAGCGUAUCCCAUAACACUAGCAGAAUAUUCUAUCAGUAUUGCACUAAAAAAUAAAAUAAAAACACAUUUCUGUAAUAUACUAAAUUUAAGAACUCCUCCAAGCAUUUGAAUUUCCAAAAUACAUGUAAAUUAACACCCCCGUUCCAUUGACUCGAGUCGAAAAAAACAAAAAACAAAUCCCACCAAACGCCCACCAGACUCCUUGUUGCUUUUAUCUUACCUAAUUACGGAUGUUCGCCAUGCAUCGCCAGCAUUAUAAAUAGAUUCUCAUUAUGCUCGACGAACACAGCACUCAAAAUCUUAAUCCUCUCCAACUGUUCCUUUGGUAAGUCACUUGUUCUUGACAAAUGGCGAGAUUCUCAAAGGUACUCAGGAAGACUGAUAUUAAAAAGAGACUCUCAGUGCCGACCGGGUUUCUCAGCUCUCUUCCAUCUUUUAAUGCUGGUGGUCAUGCUGUAGAUUUUCAAGCUGUAGAUGGAAGUGGCCAUGUUUGGACCUUCAGAUGCUCAAUUCGCAGGAAUGGACAUCCAAAACCAGUUAUUUCAAAGGGUUGGCUCGCUUAUGUUCAUAGCAAGAGCCUUAAAGUUGGUGACAAGGUCCAGUUUUUAAAGGAGAAAAACGACGCUGGCGCCAAAAUGCAUGCUUACGAGAUUCGGGCUGAGAAAGAAAUCAAGAUAUUUGGCGCUGUUUUCGGAUAUGCACCCAUAAUAUAGCUCCGUUUCCGUGCAUUAAUUAGGGCUAAUAAGAGUAGUCUGCUUCUGACUCGGCAUGACUACAUAGCUAUGCUGUUGUUUUGCUUGUUCUUUUAACGUUGUCUACAUGUUACCGCUGUUUCUAUAUUUCGGUGUUGUCAACUUGUGUUAUUAUCAAAGUAAAUAAAUUUUCAAUUUGUUCGUGUCAAACAGUGUGAUUGUGAGGCAUUUUACUGUGUCUCAAACAGUGAUUCAAGCUCCAUUUCUAAUUUCUUCUUUUCGCGAGAGGGCACGACUUCUUUUGUUCGUUUUUUGUUUUACUCCAUGUUCAGUUCUCCCCUUAAUUUCUUUUUCUAAACCAAGCCGAUAGAUGACAGAGGAGACGAUGCACCGAGCAGGCAGAAGAAAAAUGAGAGAAGGGUGCUGCAGCGGAGAAAGACUACAACGGAGGCAACAGCACCAUCACCAACAAGCGAGUUUCUCACCGAUUAGGAGGUGGCCAAUCAGUCAACGUCACGUUAAAUCAGCAUCACCACCAGCAGAAUCAGGAGGUCUGUCACCACUGGAGAGCUGGAAAGUGCAAUGGAUUCCCAUGUCCGUCUCUCCACCAUGAACUUCCAGCACCGCCGCCGCAUGCGUCUGUGAACGAGGGAGGUGGGGGAGGAGCGAAGAGAGGGUUUAUCGGGAAUGAUUCGUCGUCGUUCUCUUGGAGGGGGUAGUAAUAGUAAUUAUUGUAUUAGUUUGGGGCACUUUGGGCAUAAAGAUCAUAUUAAAGGGGUAAAAAGGGAAAGUGCGGAGAAAGUGUGUACUAAUUGGGUACAAGGGAAUUGAGAUUUUGGUGAUAAGUGUCAGUGCAAUAUUUGCUUCCUUGGGAGCUUAGGUGAUUGGUUGACUCAAUGUGAUUCUUUAGUGUUUUGUGUAAUGGGUUUUUGUGGGUUUUGGAUUUGGUGAUUGAUUUAGGGGGUUUUGAUGUGAGCCGUGAUGCAUUGUAAUCUGGGGCUGAUAAGCUUUAUACAGGGAGUAAAGAUGAGACUGUUAAGAGUUUGGGGUUUCCAGUCUGGACAGGUUUGAGUUUUACUCUUUUCAGCUGCGAUUUUAGCUAAUAUUUUCAGUUGACAUUGAAAUUUAUGACUGUGAUUGAAUUGUAAUGUGCUGUUGAUUUGAGCACUGGUGUUUCAAAUUGAUAUCUCUAAUGUUUGUAUUGGAUCAAUUAUCCAAUUUCUGUUAAAGCUAAGACUAUGAUUAUAUUGAGAUAUUUAAAAGCAAGAUGCUAGCGGGGAGUUGCUUCAAGCUUCAAUAUUUUCGUUUCUGUUGUUUUUCCUUGCGGAUACUGCAAUUUCAAUUAGAUAUUUGCUUGAGAGAAGAAAGUUAUUUUUAUCUACUGCUUUUUAAGACUAUGAUUUUGUUGGCCUUCCAAAUGUUGUCAAGGUUAGGCAAGCCUUUCUCAUUGUUUUUUUAUCACUCCAAACCCAAUUUGUAGCAAUGCUUAGAACAAAUUUACCUCCAUGGGAGUGGCUCUGACACAAUAUUUUUUUUUUUUGUGCAGGCAUGGAGUACACAGGUGUAUGCUUUGUUCGUGGGUAAUUACUUGUUAUUUGCCGGUGCGCAAGUGAUCUUUUUCUUUCAUGGGCUUGUAUUAUCCUUAAAAGUUCUAUUGAUUCUCAUGUUCUCGUAUCGAGACCUAUUAUCUCAUUUCUGCAUCAGUUUGUUUCCUUUGGUGCAAGGAAGCAGGGACAUUAAUAAUUCAAAGCAGGGUCAUUUUUUGUGGUGGUAGGAGAGUUUGUGAUGAAACUCGUCAGGGAAGAAUAUUGAUGCAGAGGCAAUAUACAUCGAAUUUAGUUGACAGCGAGGCGCUUGAGGUGAAACUUUUUCUUUUUUUUCCCGCAUGGUCUUUUUCAUUGUUUCCCUUUUUUUUUUUUCCUUGAUUGUAAUUUUAACAUGAGACAUUUAUGUUGUUCUGCCUCCUUUUGUAAUUUGUGCAGGCAAGAUGGUACUGCUCAAUUCUCAAAUUUCAGCUCUAUCUUGCGGUGAUUUUACUGUUCCAUCUCUUUUGGGAAUUCUUUGAAGGCAAAACGGUACAACUCUAUUGCCAGUUUUCCAGCUUCACUUUGCUUUAAUUUCACUGUUGUUUGUGCUUGGAUUUUUACCAGUAGCUGAUGAUUCAGGAAAAACGAUGUGUGUGUGUGUUUCAAUCAUCACUAAACGGCAUGUUUAUUAAGUGCUAAGAUUGCUCAAACUUCUACUACAACGUUACGCUUCCACUUUCCUUUUCAAUAUGCAUUUUGAUCCCCUUCCCCUGUUGGCAGCCUACACAUAAUACGAUAAUGUUUUGUUAAGCCCGCUGUUACCUUAUGAAUACGAUAAUGGUGCUUUUCUUUACCUUGGCCGCAUUCUUUACCAGAGUUCCACUUGUUAGGAUUGUCAAUUGAGGUGAGUUUAACUAAAAUUUCUUGCUUUGCAUACUAUGUUUUAAAUUUUUCUUAUGACAUAAAAUUAGUCCAGAAUAUUACUGGUGCAGAAUCAUGCUUGGAUUUGGUUGCAAAAUAUCAGACUGUUAAUGAUGUUGUCUGUUAAUGGCCACUAAGAGGAUCAUUUUCCUUAAAGUAGGUUAAGAUUUUUUUCAGCUAAAGGGAAUUAUGGGAGAUGUGUAAUUUACAAUUUUCAUAUUCUAAAACAUAUUUGAAGCAAAAGUAUCAAUUGAAAUAUAUUAUUACUGCACAAGCCACAAAAUCACUAAAAUAUGAAAUCUUAAUUGAUAAAAACCUUAAAUGUUUUUCUUUGCAUUACUAACUUAUUCAUCUUUUAAUUUCAGAACAAUGUUUUGGAUCUCUUAAAACAUGCACUACCAGAUACCUUUUAGUUUUGGAAAAAAAAAAUUCGCUGUGAAAUUUUCUUCAACUCUUUCUUGCUUUCCGCUUGACGAUCAAGUACUCACUUCCUCUCUCUCCCUGCUUUACUAGUUUGGUGCCAGACCAGUGGUGUCUUAAGCCAUGGUAUCAUUCAUCCCAUAGCCAUCUUUAUAUUGCGUACAUGCACGCUUCUCGUGGAAACUCUCAGGUACAGUUAUCAUCCAUAGGUGAGUACUUUCCGUAGUCUACCAGAUGCUCACACACUGCCAUGGACACUUGUCUCUACCCCCACAGUAAUUAGCCAAAAACUUGUCAUUUUAGUUUUGUCUUUUGAUCUUUCAAAAUCAACUGUGUAAAUUAGCAUGAACGAGCAUUUUCAGUCCAUAAGUUGAAUUAUACAAAUAGCAAUGUCUUUUAUACAGUCUCUUGUUUUGGUGACAAUAAUAAUCCUUGAUGUAUUUAUGUUUUUCAGGAGCUAAAAAUUCCCUCCCAUUUUAAGGUCCUUUUUGGCUGAGCAUGUGGACCUCCCUUACAUAGGCUAUAUAUGUGCAUUUUAUUCCUUUUGGUAUUCAUUAUUGUAUGCUAUUUUGCACUCGAAGGGAAAUUAGGCUCCUACACACAUUUGCGUUGACGAUUCAAACCAUGAUUUUUAGAUUCAUUUUCCUACAUUUUUCACCUAUAUAGAGACCAUUGAUUCAUGCUAUGGCUGCGCGGGCACCAACACUAGUUAGUUAACAAAAAUCUAAAAGAGCUCGGAGUGUGGCUUUUACCUGGAUUCAAACAGUAAUUUCAACCUUUC